GCGAGACACGUGGGCCGGUGGCGGAGCGCGACCGAUAAAACUGUUCUCGGACGGCGCCGGGGCGCAGCUCCCGGGCCGUCCGCCAAUGAUCAGCCAGCAGCCGCUGCAACCCCAGGGAG
rnacentral:sRNA from 1 species